GCCUGGGUGGCUCAGUCGGUUAAGUGUCUGACUUGGGCUCAGGGCAUAAUCUCAAGGUUCAUGAGUGAGUUCAAGCCCCACCUUAGGCU
rnacentral:tRNA from 1 species